ACAAGCAGGACUAUGAAAUGAAUGUGACCAGGCCACAGUGUCUCAUUUUGAUCCACGAGAGCAGUAUCUUAAAGAAAGAAAUAAAAACAAAUAAAAUUAAGACUGACAUUUCGAUGUACUGUUUCUGCUGUUGGGGGGGAUUACACAUAUAUUUGAAGAGCACUUACGGACAUAAGAGAAUCGACAGAUGGACCCAAGAGAAAAGAGAAUGAGCUAAAGAAGAAAAGCAUUCCAGCUUGCCCGCAUGGAUUUUUUCCUGCAGAAUUAUGCUGAGGACGAGUGGCAGGGCCGAAGAGGUUAUCGAAUGAGAAGAGCUGACUUUGCAAGACCUCCUCUCGUGUGUCAAGUCCCAUUCAGCCCACACGGAGGGAAAGGGCUAGGUCUUCCCUCACGUGAAAAGCACAUGCUCAAUUUCCAGAGCGUUCUCUACACACCGGGAUGACACCGCCAAGCCUGAUCGCCCGCCAUUUUGAGGAACAAGAAUCUUCACUCAUUUUAAUCGCCGAAUCUGAACAGUGGAAAGUCAUUCUCCGAUCAGGAAAGCCUGAA